AACGAACGCUGGCGGCAUGCCUAACACAUGCAAGUCGAACGAGAUCUUCGGGUCUAGUGGCGCACGGGUGCGUAACGCGUGGGAAUCUGCCCUUUGGUUCGGAAUAACAGUUGGAAACGACUGCUAAUACCAGAUAAUGACGAAAGUCCAAAGAUUUAUCGCCAGAGGAUGAGCCCGCGUAGGAUUAGCUAGUUGGUGUGGUAAAGGCGCACCAAGGCGACGAUCCUUAGCUGGUCUGAGAGGAUGAUCAGCCACACUGGGACUGAGACACGGCCCAGACUCCUACGGGAGGCAGCAGUGGGGAAUAUUGGACAAUGGGCGAAAGCCUGAUCCAGCAAUGCCGCGUGAGUGAUGAAGGCCUUAGGGUUGUAAAGCUCUUUUACCCGGGAUGAUAAUGACAGUACCGGGAGAAUAAGCUCCGGCUAACUCCGUGCCAGCAGCCGCGGUAA
rnacentral:rRNA from 1 species